ensembl:lincRNA
UGCUUUUUUUUUUUUUCAGAAGUAAUUAGAACUGGGAAUUUCCUCCUUGUGUCGAUGUUGGAGAAUUCUUCCUGUUCUCCAGCUUUAUAAAAGGAACAAAAAAUUAUCAUUGAACUUAAUCCACUUUCUAUCAUCCAUCAUGAAUCCAGUCACAAAAUUUAGCAUACUGCUCAUCAUGACUCUAUGCCUUCUCUGCUCCACAGAGGCUCUGCAAUGUGUCAAGUGUAUAGUUAUUGGAUCUCCCAAGAUAUGUCAGUCAUCGCAAAAGUCCUGUACAGCUAAAGAAGGCCAGAAGUGUGGUCUAAAAAAAGUCACUUUGGAGAUGCUCAUUGAAUCAUAAUCCUGGAGCAUGUCAUCAAGCUUUAUUCUACUGAACUUUAUCUUCAGUAUCAUUCCCUGGUUUCUACAUAACAUUUCUUAGAUACUGUUCCUAACCUAUAUGUAUACUUUUACAUUGGGAGUUCUGAACUGCAUUGUAUGCCUUGUGAAAUUUAUUUCACUU